GCUUCCUUGGUGAGUCCUCGUCCCCAGUGCUGUCCCCUUCCUGUGAGAAUGCAUGUAAGACAGGUGUGGGACUGCUGGGAGACUGCAGAGUGCCUUCUGCGUAGCUGAGACUUCAGAUCAUGUGUCACACCGUCUGGACGUUUGGGACAUGUGUGUACCUGUGUGGGAGCUGGGAUGGUGCAGGUGGCUACCUGAGGGAGCACGAGGAGCCUGGAACCUUGGGUAGCCAUUGCCUUGCUUGGACUUACUUUUAUCUCAAAGUCUUCUCUUCACAGAUGAAGCAUAGAAAGCCGGUUCCCUCACGUGCACCUUCAAACAGUCCUGUCCUGGCUCCCCAGAGAGCUCUCAGUUUGAAUGUCUUCGUCAGCGUUUGCUGGUCUGGACGCUAGUGGCCAGGGAGACCUCCUAGUGUGGAAUUUUGGGGCUUCAAAGACACAGCUGGAAACCCAUGUGGCUACAGUGACCAGUUUUACAAGAAAAGCCCAGAUCUGAGGUGUGGUGGGCAAACAGUCCAGGCUUGUGACCAGUACAGGAGGAGGGCCUUGCCUGUUCAGUGCAGCAUCUCCGUCUCUGGCCCAGUGGCUAGCCCAGGGUAAGCACCUGAGAAGUUUGCAUGAUUGCAUAUAAUCCAAGCAUUGGGAGUUUGAGGCAGGGUGGUCUGGAGGUCAAGGUCAGUUCAGGCAACCUAGUGAAACCCUGUCUCAGAAAUGAGUGAACAAACUUUAAACACUGGUUUAGGAGCAGGUAGGCCAACCAUGAGUGUUGUCUUCCUUUUACAGGUAAGAGAACCGAGGCCUGGGGAGGUUGAGAGCUGCCAUGGUCAAGGCAUUACUGCAGAGUCAAGGCCUCAUUUGGACCCAGCUCUCAACUUUGUUAGCGGUGGGGCAACAAUGGCCAGAAUAAAUGCAUUUAUUAAGCCCUAAUCUCCCCUUCUGAUGUCGGGUUCAGCUUCUUCCAGUCUAAAAGUCACCAGCCUGUCUACAGACUGGGAACAUAAAGACAGAGAGGGCUCUCUGGGGCCGGAGGAUUAAUCAGCAAUUAGUGUGCAGAACCCUUUCCAGACAAAUGUUAAGUAUUAUCAGUAUUUAAAUUUAGUUUCAUCCUCCCUGCAUCCUCACAAGAGAGAACAGAUGGCCCUGGCUUCAG